AGUGUUAGUAAAACAAUUACCUAGCCUUGUCAAGGCUAAAUUACAGGUGAAACCCCUGUACACCUCAUCACCUAA
rnacentral:tRNA from 1 species